rnacentral:tRNA from 1 species
GCCUGGGUGGCUCAGUCGGUUAAGCAUCCGACUUCGGCUCAGGUCAUGAUCUCGCGGUCUGUGGGUUCGAGCCCCGCAUCGGGCU